rnacentral:rRNA from 1 species
AUUGAACGCUGGCGGCAUGCCUUACACAUGCAAGUCGAACGGCAGCACGGGUGCUUGCACCUGGUGGCGAGUGGCGAACGGGUGAGUAAUACAUCGGAACAUGUCCUGUAGUGGGGGAUAGCCCGGCGAAAGCCGGAUUAAUACCGCAUACGAUCUACGGAUGAAAGCGGGGGACCUUCGGGCCUCGCGCUAUAGGGUUGGCCGAUGGCUGAUUAGCUAGUUGGUGGGGUAAAGGCCUACCAAGGCGACGAUCAGUAGCUGGUCUGAGAGGACGACCAGCCACACUGGGACUGAGACACGGCCCAGACUCCUACGGGAGGCAGCAGUGGGGAAUUUUGGACAAGGGGCGAAAGCCUGAUCCAGCAAUGCCGCGUGUGUGAAGAAGGCCUUCGGGUUGUAAAGCACUUUUGUCCGGAAAGAAAUCCUUGGCCCUAAUACGGUCGGGGGAUGACGGUACCGGAAGAAUAGGCACCGGCUAACUACGU